rnacentral:lncRNA from 1 species
CGACGCCGAGAGGCACCGUUUCUUCUUAAAAGAGAAACGCUGCGCGCGCGAGGUGGGCCCCUGUCUUCCAGCAGCUCCGGGCCUGCUCGCUAGGCCCGGGAGGCGCAGGCGCAGGCGCAGUGGGGGUGAGGGCGCGUGGGGGCGCACAGCCUCUGGUGCACAUGGCUUCCUCCCCGGCGGUGGACGUGUCCUGCAGGCGGCGGGAGAAGCGGCGGCAGCUGGACGCGCGCCGCAGCAAGUGCCGCAUCCGCCUGGGCGGCCACAUGGAGCAGUGGUGCCUCCUCAAGGAGCGGCUGGGCUUCUCCCUGCACUCGCAGCUCGCCAAGUUCCUGUUGGACCGGUUAGGGGCCGGGAGAAGGGCUUGGGGGAGGGUACCCAGGCAGCAGCCCCUAGCCUCCUCUCCAGGGCCUGUCCUGCUGCUCUUUUCCACCCUCAGGUUUCUCACUUUACCAGGACGGCCUGUGUGACUUGUGGCCUCCGAGGGUCCUGCUCCCCUCCUCAUGGUCUCAGCGAAUAGCGGCCCUUAGGGCUGGCCCCUUACAUGUGUGAGUGCCCAGGGCUGAGGGUGGCUGGCCACCUGAGUCCUGACCUGCCUCUUCUCCUGCUGGCAGGUACACUUCUUCAGGCUGUGUCCUCUGUGCAGGUAGGUAGGGGAUGGCAGGGGGUGAGAGCCAGAGGGAAGAGGGACCACAGGGUGACCCAGAAACACCCUCCUUUCAAAGGGAGCCCUGAGUAAGUUUGGGAAGGGUGGGGUGAGUUGGGGAGCACAGGGUAGUUUGAUGGAGGCAACCUCUGGGUGGGGAAGGGAGCAAUGUCUCAGGAUCUAGUGUGUCUAGGUUCUGAAGAAUGAUAAAUUGGACUGGGGCUGAGGUUGCCCUGGGGUUUGAGGGAACAGGGCUCCCUGGGUAUGGCUCUCCAGGGUAAGAGGAGGAGACUUCCCAGUUCAGCCUGACUGCUUCCCCCACCCCUCCAGGUCCUGAGCCUUUGCCUCCAAAAGGUCUGCAGUAUCUGGUGCUCUUGUCUCAUGCCCA